rnacentral:rRNA from 1 species
AACGAACGCUGGCGGCAUGCCUAACACAUGCAAGUCGAACGAGACCUUCGGGUCUAGUGGCGCACGGGUGCGUAACGCGUGGGAACCUGCCCUUAGGUUCGGAAUAACUCCCCGAAAGGGGUGCUAAUACCGGAUAAUGUCUUCGGACCAAAGAUUUAUCGCCUUUGGAUGGGCCCGCGUUGGAUUAGCUAGUUGGUAGGGUAAAAGCCUACCAAGGCGACGAUCCAUAGCUGGUCUGAGAGGAUGAUCAGCCACACUGGGACUGAGACACGGCCCAGACUCCUACGGGAGGCAGGAGUGGGGAAUAUUGGAAAAUGGGCGAAAGCCUGAUCCAGCAAUGACGCGUGAGUGAUGAAGGCCGUAGGGUUGUAAAGCUAUUUUACCCGGGAUGAUAAUGACAGUACCGGGAGAAUAAGCUCCGGCUAACUCCGUG